UGGGAAGAGGCAGAGCAUGGAUGGAGUCAUUAACAAUAUACCCUUCUGUUUUUGGUUCUACCCCUGCACUGCCUCUUCCCUGGC
rnacentral:pre_miRNA from 1 species